rnacentral:rRNA from 1 species
GACGAACGCUGGCGGCGUGCCUAAUACAUGCAAGUAGAACGCUGAAGGAAGGAGCUUGCUCUUUCUGGAUGAGUUGCGAACGGGUGAGUAACGCGUAGGUAACCUGCCUGGUAGCGGGGGAUAACUAUUGGAAACGAUAGCUAAUACCGCAUAAAAUUGAUUAUUGCAUGAUAGUCAAUUGAAAGGUGCAACUGCACCACUACCAGAUGGACCUGCGUUGUAUUAGCUAGUUGGUGGGGUAACGGCUCACCAAGGCGACGAUACAUAGCCGACCUGAGAGGGUGAUCGGCCACACUGGGACUGAGACACGGCCCAGACUCCUACGGGAGGCAGCAGUAGGGAAUCUUCGGCAAUGGACGGAAGUCUGACCGAGCAACGCCGCGUGAGUGAAGAAGGUUUUCGGAUCGUAAAGCUCUGUUGUAAGAGAAGAACGAGUGUGAGAGUGGAAAGUUCACACUGUGACGGUAUCUUACCAGAAAGGGACGGCUAACUACGUG